GGGAAUGUGGCUCAGUGGCAGAGUGCUUGCCUUGCAUGCAUGAAGUCCUGGGUUGCAUUCCUC
rnacentral:tRNA from 1 species